rnacentral:rRNA from 3 species
UUCUUUGGAGAGUUUGAUCCUGGCUCAGGACGAACGCUGGCGGCGUGCCUAAUACAUGCAAGUCGAGCGCAGGAAAUCGAC